GGCUACGCCAUUGCUGUGUGGGUCCCGGGAUCUCGACUUCGAAGACUGGCGGGGGCGGGGAGGGCGGGGGAGAGCGGCGCCCGGCUUCCCGGGGAGCCGCAGGUGAGGCCGCGCCGGUGUGCGGCGGCGCCCCGCCUGGCCUCUGGCGAGGAGCCCGAGACCGGCGCUUCCUGCCGGGACGAAGGGGCCAGCGUGGAGGCGCGGGUGGACUCAGGUCUCCGGGAGCCGGUCCGGAACCCUGCGGGCCCUCUGCCUUUACCCCCGAUGUAAGCCAGGAGACAGCCCCCCUGCCCUGCUGGAGCGAGACCGUUGAUGGAGGGCCCCGAUGGGUGAUGUAUGUAGCCCCUGGAAACAGACUAAAGAGCGGCGGCAAGAAAGGAGUUGGUCUCCACAAACCACCCGAAGUCAAGGAAGAUUUUGGAUAAAUCAUUAUCAAGGAAGCUAAGGACACCUGUGUUGUACUGAAAGCACACCAGCCAUGAAAUCGGAAGGCCCAAAUUUGAAUUCCAGUUAUUCACAAAUGUGUGUGGGUGAAGCUGUCUUGGACCCUCCGGAUGAGACCAGACACCAGCUGAAAACCAGUGGAUGACCCCAGGUGAUCACCUGGAGCAGAAGAGUCACCCAGCUGAUCCUUGCCAGAAUUCCUAACCCACGAAAUUAUGAAGUGGAAUAAGUUGGUUGUUGCUUUAAACCUCUACGUUUUGUGAGAACUUGUUACACAGUUAUAGAUAAUAAGAAUAUGCAGAUGUCACAAAUUCUCCAGGUUAUUCUUGUAUAUCUUAGAAUUUGAGUCAUUGUUGUAAAGGGAUCUGACACUUAACGAGUAAAAUUUUAUCUUAAAGAAGAGAAAAGGGGCGCCUGGGGGCUCAGUCGUUAAGCAUCUGCCU